ACGCCUGCGUCCCCGGUGGCGCAGGUGUGAAGACCGUUUAUUUAUAUCGUAUAUGCUCGGUAGAAUAUUUUUCAGAAUAUGCGCUUUGGCCAACGCGACCGCAUUGCUAUGAUAAAACUUGCUUUGCUUCCAUAAUCACUCAAUACUAGCUUUAUCGAAAGAGGUGACAAUAUGAAACCGCGGUUCUUCCUGUUCUUCACGGCAUGUCUGUGGACGCUGCGCUGCUGCAGCUCCGGCCCUGAAUUUAACGUCACAGAUUAUUAUACCCUCACAGUUAAGAGAGUAAGAAAGUUACUGCAACAGAGCGACUACAUCCGCGUAGCUGAUGGAAUUUACUCUCAACACAACUACCCCACGUGCGUGAGGUCUCAUUUCCAUGAAUACACGAUCGCUGGAUUUAAACACGCCUUAAGCUACGUCGCACAGGGGUUACCAAAAAACCUUGUUCAAAGUGAAAUCAGAAAAACCACCACUUCUCAUU